rnacentral:rRNA from 1 species
AUUGAACGCUGGCGGCAUGCCUAACACAUGCAAGUCGAACGGCAACGGUCUUUCGGCUGCCGCCGACUGGCGAAGAGGUGCGUAAGAGAGCGGAACGUACCGGACCCUGCUUUUUAACGGGGCGAAAGCUUUGGUAAUAUAGCAUACGACCUCAGACGGCAUACCGGGGACCGCAGGGGAUUGUCCGGCCGUACUGGCCGCACUCAGACGAUGUCGGAUUAGGUAGUAGGCCGGGUAAAGGCCCACCAAGGCGACGAUCCGUAGCUGGUCUGAGAGGAUGAUCAGCCACACUGGGACUGAGACACGGUCCAGACUCCUACGGGAGGCAGCAGUGGGGAAUAUUGGACAAUGGGCGCAAGCCUGAUCCAGCCAUGCCGCGUGAGUGAAGAAGGCCUUCGGGUUGUAAAGCGCUUUUGUUGGGAAAGAAAAGCCUUCUUUUAAUACAGGAGGGUCAUGACGGUACCGAAAGAAUAAGCACCGGCUAACUACGUG